rnacentral:rRNA from 1 species
GUGGGGAAUAUUGGGCAAUGGGGGCAACCCUGACCCAGCGACGCCGCGUGGGUGAAGAAAUCCCUCGGGAUGUAAAGCCCUGUUGUAUGGGAAGAGCAGAAGACGGUACCAUACGAGGAAGCCCCGGCAAACUACGUGCCAGCAGCCGCGGUAAUACGUAGGGGGCAAGCGUUGUCCGGAAUUACUGGGCGUAAAGCGCACGCAGGCUGAAUUAUAAGUCGGUAGUCAAAUACGGAGGCUCAACUUCCGGAUAUCUAUCGAUACUGUAAAUCUAGAGUAUGUGAGAGGGAAGCGGAAUUCCCGGUGUAGCGGUGAAAUGCGUAGAUAUCGGGAAGAACACCGGUGGCGAAGGCGACUUGCUGGCCAGCAACUGACGCUGAGGCGCGAAAGCCAGGGGAGCAAACGGGAUUAGAUACCCCAGUAGUCC